AAGCUCUUCUAAUGUUUGUGAUAGGAGUCUACUGCUGCCGUACCGUUGCUAUUUAUAUUCCUGCUGGCUGAAACCUCUUGGCACCCUACCUCCGUGCUCUGUCAGCAAGCACUCCUUCACAGUAUAGCUACCUCUUACAGCUCUUAGUAAAUGAAAAUUAGAUUCGUCAGAGACAAUCAAGAAACAAGUGGGAAGGAUCUGAGCAAAAUAUGUGAAGGUUUUAUGAGUAAAUACAGCUUUUAGAAUACAAGUGAAAUCCAGAGGAACUUCUGAAGAAUGCAGGUUGCCCUCUUGUUACCUGAUGCUAGCGAUCUAGUCUGGAAAGUCACAAAAGCCCAUUCUGAAGCAUGUGGUAAUAUCAAGAGCAAGAGCUGCCAGGAAAUACACUGAUACUUUAGGUUUGUGUGGCACAGAGCCCAUUUAUCCCUCCUCCCCAUUCAAUCUGCUGAAACAGCUCCGCAACGUCACCCCCUACAGUAAUGCUACUCCGUAGAAAUUCCAUGCAGUAACAGUCCUGCUUUAUCCUCCUGCUGCCUCACACCAGCCAGCUCUGAGUCACUGCCAGCAUGCUGAACCACAGCCACGCUAUUCCUGUGCUGACCCAUCAAAAAGGAGGCUUUUAAGUCAUAACUGUUUCUUCAGUGUCCUAAGUGAACUACUCAAUCCUCGGAAAUCUGAGGCUGUUGGAACUGAAAUCUGACAACUG
rnacentral:lncRNA from 1 species